UACGUAGGGUGCGAGCGUUAAUCGGAAUCACUGGGCGUAAAGGGUGCGCAGGCGGCUUUGCAAGUCAGAUGUGAAAUCCCCGGGCUCAACCUGGGAACUGCAUUUGUGACUGCAUGGCUGGAGUGCGGCAGAGGGGGAUGGAAUUCCGCGUGUAGCAGUGAAAUGCGUAGAUAUGCGGAGGAACACCGAUGGCGAAGGCAAUCCCCUGGGCCUGCACUGACGCUCAUGCACGAAAGCGUGGGGAGCAAACAGG
rnacentral:rRNA from 1 species